UACAGAGGGUGCAAGCGUUGUUCGGAAUUAUUGGGCGUAAAGGGAGUGUAGGCUGUUCCUUAAGUCUUCUGUGAAAUCUACGGGCUUAGCCUGUAACGUGCAGAGGAAACUGGGGGACUUGAGUGUCGGAGAGGGUAGCGGAAUUCCCGGUGUAGAGGUGAAAUUCGUAGAGAUCGGGAGGAACACCAGUGGCGAAGGCGGCUACCUGGCUGACAACUGACGCUGAGACGCGAAAGCGUGGGGAGCGAACAGG
rnacentral:rRNA from 1 species